GGGGGUAUAGCUCAAUUGGUAGAGCGCUUGCAUGGCAUGCAAGAGGUCAGGGGUUCAAUUCCCCUUAUCUCCA
rnacentral:tRNA from 1 species